AAGAGAAAAAGUUUUUUGCUUGGUAAUGUUUAUCUUCCUACCUGUUAGCCUUUUUCUUUUGUUGUUUCUAUAGAUAAAAGUUCAAGGAUGGAGUGACAAAUUCUUCAGCUAGUAUAAGAAUGUAACAUUAAAUCUCAAUAUCUUUUCUGGAUCUCUUGAAACUGAAUAGUGGAUAGGCAGUUUCUCUGUGUGAAUAUUUGCUUUUGUUGACUGGGUAAUGUAUUAGUUGAGUCAUGAGCCCUGUGUAAGCUAUUCUUUUAUGAACUUCUACUUUCAAAUGACCAUCCACCUAAUGCAACUUACAAUUUUGUCAGGCUCUUGAUCUGAUUAGGGACAGAAAUCUUCAAAUGCUGACUGAUUCUUGCUUGGAAGGUCAAUUUUCCAGUGAUGAUGGAACUGAGCUAGUACGUUUGGCCUCACGAUGUCUACAAUAUGAGCCUCGUGAGCGACCAAAUCCAAAGUCAUUAGUUGCUUCAUUGAUUCCUCUGCAGAAGGAGAUUGAGGUUUGCUUCCUUUUUUGAGUGGCAUGAAAGUAACUGAUUCAAGACACGCUUUUCUGCCAUGUCUGUGAUCGUAAGCAUGGAUGACAUAAAGUUGUUGUAUUGUGUCAGAAAUGUCAAGUUUAAAAGGUGAAUUUGUCUUAUGGAGACGUGCAGAGACUUAGUGAACAGUUUUGCUGUAAUGCUACAGCUAGCACGUGUUUUGUACUUUGCUUGACUACAAUUGAUUUGCUGUCCUUGCUCUCAAGCAUUUCAAAGAUUUUGUGUAACCAGUUUAGGUAGCUGUUGGAUGUUGCUUGUCUUGUCACUAUAACUUGAUUAUGUAUAUUAUUUGCAAAAAGAGUCUGUAUUAUAGCAUGACUAGUUGUGAUACUUCCAUUUGGAAAUUUCAGAGAAGAUUGUAAACUGACAGUGGAUUCUCGAAAUCCACAAAUGUUCUUGCCUAUUUUUGUCUUUGAAUAGUCAUAUACAAUUGAUGAUUAGCAUUGAUCACCUCAUAUAGAUAUAGAAAUUGAUCAUUAGUGAAUACUUAGAAGAUGAAAAUGGAGAUUAUAAAUUCAGUUAGACCAUAAUACUUGUAUCCAUAUGGUGCCUUAUGGUGAAAGAGUGACUUAUCAGCCUGCAGAAUACAGUAUGUUUAACUAGUGGUUCUUAUUUUAGUUCGAUUAUGAACAGUCAAGUGCAAUGUUUUGCUCAUUUUCAUUUUUGAAAGUUCUUGUUUCAAUGUACUUGGCGCAGGAAGAUAAUUUAUCAUCAUCAUCUUAUUGAUUGUCAUGACCAUGGUUUUUGGUUUCUGUUUUAAGUUUGACUUGAUAUGCUUUCUGUAAAAAAUUUAUAGGAAAAUGUCUUAUAAAAGAAUUGAUGUUGAGUUUGUAGUAGGGAAGUCGUGAGAAGAAGCAAUUGUAUUGAUGUUUAGAAGUGGCUAUGCACAAUCAUUUCUGCUCUCAUACUUAGAAAGUCCUUCCAAGUCAAAAUGCUGGAGUUUUGGUGAUUGGGUGAAACAUAAUCUUCUGUCUCACAUUUGAUGCUACAGUGACAUUCUAAUAGAAGUUGCUUUCCAGGUUCCUUCACAUGUAUUGAUGGGUAUACCACAUGGUGGUGAAGCUAUGUCACUGUCUCCUCUUGGAGAGGCCUGCCAAAGAAUGGAUUUGACUGCUAUGCAUGAGAUCCUGGAGAAACUUGGCUACAAGGAUGAUGAGGGAGCAGCUACAGAGGUUUGUUGCCUAUUAGACAUUUUCAUAAACUUGCGUUGCUUGUUCUUUGAAGAUUGCUAGUGGCCUUGCAUCGUGUGAAGCACUCCUUUUUUCUUUUAUAUGCACACAUGCUCUAGGAGCCCCUCCAUCCUUUUGGAGUAGCUAAGUAGACUAUGGACUGACAGCUUGUCAUGUAUUUUAUUUGUGAUUUUGUAAUAAACUUUUGUUUGUUAACUUUUCUAAUAUCAAAAUCUCUGAGUGCUUCUUAUGGUGAUUGGAUCUUUUAUUAGGUAGAGAUAUUCUGAAGUUUUAUUUUUGUGGGAGGGAAAAGAUGUAUCUUUAAUUGAAUGGGGGUUGAGUUUCCCUCAUAGUUGGGUAUUUAGCAAAAAAUUGGUUCCAGGCAUAUUAUGUGAACCCUCUCUGGAUGCCAUAAAAUUGUGCUUGUUGAGUGUUUGAUCUCUCAUAUUAGCAUUUUCUUGGUAAUUUGCCUCAUCUUUCUUCUGUGAUACUGCAUUAUGGGCAACAUUUUUUUAGGUGGUUCUGCUUAUUGAGGACCGAAAUUAUGGUUACUUCGAUUCUUGUGGUUGUUUUGAACAGUAGUAGAGUACAACUUUUGAAUAAAAUGCGAAAGUUGUCGCUUUGUUCUUUUUAUUAUAUUUAAAGUGUUCUUUUAUGCGCCUGAGAAGCAUCUCUAUUGCUGUGAGACUUGAAUUGAUUGCGCUCAUCACCGUCCUAUUCUCGCAAUGCAGCUUUCCUUUCAGAUGUGGACAAACCAGAUGCAGGAAACUUUGAAUUCUAAGAAGAAGGGUGAUGUUGCUUUUCGCCAUAAAGAGUUGAAGGCUGCAAUUGAAUGCUACACACAGGUUAGAUCACUGUAAUCCUGUAAUAACUAUCCAAUUUCUCUAAACUGGAUUUAUUUUGUGAAUAUAAAAGGAAGUAGUUAAAUAUGAUUCCAAAUUUGUUAAAUAACAGGCCUGUCCUAUUUAGAUGGUGUAUUUGUUUUAUCAUCUGAGCUUUCCUAAAUGAUGAGAACAUGCUUAUAUCCUGGUUUGCAUUUUUUUUUUCUGUUGUAUCAAUUAAUCGAAUUUUAAAAUCAUAUGGGCAUUGGGUGUCCUUACAAUUGUUCUAGGAUCAGCCCUUAGUUCUGGUACGAUCUCCUUUUUUGGGUGUCAAGUUUUCAUUUGUCUUUUAUUUCUGAUCUACUAUAGGUAUGCUUCUGUCCUGUGUUAAUACCUUGUUGCUUUUUUCAGUUUGUUGAGGUGGGGACCAUGGUAUCGCCAACCGUCUUUGCUCGUCGUAGUCUGUCCUAUCUUAUGAGUGACAUGCCACAAGAGGCUCUGAAUGAUGCAGUUCAAGCACAAGUGAUAUCUCCUGUUUGGCACAUCGCUUCAUACUUGCAAGCUGCUGCUCUUUUUGCUUUGGAUAAGGAAAAUGAAGCACAAAUUGCUCUAAAAGAGGGUUCCGUUCUUGAAGAGAAAAGGAAUAUGACUUCCUUGAGAUAAAAGAGUUAACCAAGCGUUGGCUAUCUUCAUUUAAAAUUGCUCCAUUCUGGGAAAAGAUACAAGUAAAAUACAUCUUGGUUUCUGGUGCGGAAAGCUUAGAGGCUCUUCAGUUAUUCAACUUCAAGAAAAAUCAAGAGCUAAACACUACAAACUCUUAUGAUUCUCGAGUACAUGGUUCGGUGGUGUCGUUGAAACAUUCUUUUGGGAACAUCAAAUAGGUGGUUUGUUUCGGUUAGGUUGGUAGAGUCUUUCUCUGUUGAUAGUAGACUAAAGCUUUCCCAAUUAUACAAGUCUUUGGGGAUAAGUUGUUGCAAUUGGAAGGAAUUAUUCUUUCAUAAACAGGUCAAGAGGUCGGGAUUUUCUCGUUACAUGCACAGGCUGGUUGGAGAACAUUGCCAUGCUGUAAUUUAUGUACAGUGCUACAUGGCUUGUUCAUGCUUGAGAUUUGGCUGGUUCUUGUUUCUUGUAUUUGACUAUUUUUCUUGGUACUUUUUGUUGUGAAUUUUAAGGGAUUUUGAUGUCCAACAACAUUUGACUCCUUGUAAAUUGCGUAUGAGUUAGCAGCAAGUUAUUACUUUCUUUGCGGCCUCUGGUGUUGGACCAUUUAGAACUUGAAAUCUUAAACUUCAUCCAAACACUUGUGCUUUGAGAAAACUCUGAAUACUGGGGCAUUUUUGUGGUGAACCAAGGUUACAUGCUGAAGGAAGCUGCACCAACCAACGUAGGCUUUUCUGGUGCCUGUCUGCUUCAGCCUGAAACGAGGACCAGACUUGAUCUCACCCAUCGGUAGUCUAAUUUAAAACUUGAAGCUCGAGUAUGUCAAACGAAAGUGGAACAAUCCAGAUUAUCUAACUUUUGCGCUCGACUGGGGUGUCAAUGCCCCCCCAACACAUUAGCGUAAUCUGUGAAAAGUUUCCCAGUUUAUUCUUGACUCUUGUUGGAUUAAGCUUAGCCAAAUUAUUAAGGUUCCUGAGUCGCAUUCACCAAAUUCACUUCUGUUUAUGGUAAAGAUGCAGCAUUAGUCAAAUUAACGUUCAAUUUUUCGCCUGCAAAUCUAUUCCCAAAAUCAAAUGUAGCCACAAACUCCAAAUCUUGAAAAUAUUUUCAGGCCCCCAGUUUUGUGAGUCACAUCUUGACUUUGCAGCUAUUACCCCCAGUCAGAUCAGAUGGUGACAUAACAUAACAACUAGAUUAAAAAAGAAAAAAAAAACACGCCAUAUAUUCGUAUAGAAACAUCAAUAUUUAACACUUUACAUACAGUAUAAGAUCACCAAUAGUGAUAUUAUGGUGCAAGACCUUACUCACAAUCACCAUGGAAAGAACAUAAAUAAAUGCAAUAAUUUUAAUAUUCAAGCCCUCUUCAAAUCUUAGCUUUCCAGAACCGCCUCUUGAUCAUCAUCAUAGUCUUCAUCACCAGAGGCUGCAGCAUCUUGAUACUGCUGAUAUUCAGAAACCAAAUCAUUCAUGUUACUUUCAGCCUCAGUGAACUCCAUUUCAUCCAUUCCUUCACCAGUGUACCAAUGCAAGAAAGCCUUCCUCCUAAACAUGACUGUAAACUGCUCGGAAACACGCCUAAACAUCUCUUGAAUCGAUGUUGAAUUCCCCAUAAAUGUCGAAGACAUUGCCAACCCUGUUGGUGGAAUGUCACAAACACUUGAUUUUACAUUAUUUGGGAUCCACUCGACAAAGAAUGAUGAGUUCUUGUUUUGCACAUUGAUCAUCUGCUCAUCAACCUCUUUGGUGCUCAUUUUGCCUCGGAACAUUGCUGAGGCUGUCAGGUAUCUACCGUGGCGUGGAUCAGCAGCGCACAUCAUGUUCUUGGCGUCCCACAUUUGUUGCGUGAGCUCCGGAAUGGUGAGUGCUCUGUAUUGCUGCGAUCCUCUUGAAGUUAAGGGUGCAAAUCCAACCAUGAAGAAGUGUAGGCGUGGGAAUGGAAUUAAGUUCACCGCUAGCUUUCUCAGAUCAGAAUUAAGUUGGCCAGGGAAACGAAGGCAACAUGUUACUCCACUCAUGGUUGUUGAAAUCAGGUGGUUCAAAUCACCAACUGCGCCAAAACAAGAAAAGGAAUCACAUAUUGAAGUGUGCUCCGUGCUGAAGUGCUGACAUAUGUAACAUGAACAUUUAACUACCAUUCCUAUUCUUGCACAUAUCAUCUCAUUAACCUGCCCUAAUCAUCCGUCCAGAUUUAAAGAGUGAUUGUUUUGGGAAUUAAUCUCAAAAUGAUAAGAGGCCUUGUGUAUCUCCAACAAUUGACCGCGAAAUAUAACGUUGCUAGUUGCUACACAAUCUCACAAUUCGUUUGGCCGGUUGAAUUUUUACUACACACAAUUAGACAGACCUGCAGGAAAUUUAGGAAGCAACUUGAAUUAUUCAAGAAUUAGGAUCUAGUAUAAAGGAAGUGUUAACAAUUCCAAUGAAUUGUACUUCAAGACGAUAGAAGCCUCAACUAUUGAGACCCCUGAUCCAGUAACUUCUUGACUAGUUUCACUAAGUCGGUUAUUCAACUUCCUUGCAGUGCUUAAUUAACUUGGCAACUUACAGCUUGGAUUUGUGAGCUUGAGUGUUCUGAAACAAAUAUCGUAGAGUGCUUCAUUGUCCAGGACCAUGCAUUCAUCGGCAUUCUCAACCAGUUGGUGAACUGAGAGUGUGGCAUUGUAGGGCUCAACAACUGUGUCAGAGACCUUUGGAGAAGGGAAGACUGAGAAUGUCAGCAUCAUUCUAUCAGGGUACUCUUCCCUGAUCUUAGAUAUCAGCAGAGUCCCCAUUCCUGAUCCGGUGCCUCCUCCAAGUGAAUGGCAUAUUUGAAAUCCUAUAUUGUUACAGAAAUAAGAACAUGUAAUUAGAAUUGAAGCCACAUUUGUACCAUGACACAUUGACUCUGCAAGUACCAAAUAACUAAAGAAACAGCAAUUUUUACAUGAAAACUUAGUCAAAGUAUUAGAAAGUCUGAAUGGACUAAGCGGGUACGUACUUGUCCACUAUACGAGAGUUUUCUGCAGAUUCUAUGUUGUGAGUGCAUAAUAAUAGCUUUUCACGAAAUUGAGAUGUUGGAAUUUUCACCUUGUAAGCAAUCACAGUUCUCUGCUUCCUUUCGAACAACAUCAAGAACAGAAUCAAUCAGCUCAGCUCCUUCAGUAUAAUGGCCCUUAGCCCAAUUGUUUCCGGCACCAUUUUGGCCGAAAACAAAGUUGUCAGGCUUGAAAAUCUUCCCAUAUGGUCCAGUCCUCAAACUGUCCAUAGUCCCAGGUUCAAGGUCCAUGAGGACAGCUCUCGGGACGUACCUGCCACCACUGGCCUCAUUGUAGUAAACAUUGACCCUCUCGAGCUGAACAUGAGAGCUGCCACUGUGGUUUCCUGUGGCAUCAAUCCCAUGUUCAUCACAAACGACUUCCCAAAACUUGCCACCAAUCUGGUUGCCGCAUUGCCCUGCUUGGAUAUGAAGAAUUUCUCUCAUUCUCUAAGCAAUUUUUUUUUUCCUCUUCUUUUUUGAAGAUAUAUAUGAAAUAUAUAGAUGGUUUGAAAAAAAAAAAAAAAUAAAGUUAGAAGGAUGAGAGAAAAGGAGGUGACAUGGAAGUGUGAAUGAGGGAAGGCUUUUUGUAGUAGGAGUAGGAUGGAAUUUGAUUGAGACAUUGAUAUUUUUCUUCCACCUUACAGUAAUGCAUAGAUCCAAUUAAUAAUUUCAUGUGGGUAUGUUUCUGCAAUUUUUUUUUGUGGAGGCAAUGUCAACUUCAACAGGAAAUAUGAGCUGGAGCAGAAUAAUACAACCAUCAUGUGGGGGUACCUUUCUCAUCCUAUAUAAGAUUAUAUUAUGGAUUGUAUCUCCACAAAAGAAAUUAUGGAGAAAAUAAAAUAAAAUCCAUCGUGAUUGACACAAUGUACCUCAAUGUAAUAAAAUUACAUAGAAAAUGAAUCAAUUAUAACGAGACAUUCUUGAUCUUAUGACGCGUUACUUGAAUCAAGAAAUUUCUAAUUCUUAUCAGAUCAAUAUUUGAUCCACCACAGGCUUCCAAGGUUUGUGAUUUCAGUUUUGCCUUUGUUAUAGAAAUUCCGCCUCUUCAUUUGGCAAUUUCGAGGUGGGAGGGAUAUGCUAUAGUAUAGUAACUAGUCUAUUAGUCGAACUUAAGGCAAUUAUUUAGUCGCUUGUCAUAUGUCAUUUCUGUUGCUUAAUCAAAUUGAUCAUUGCUUAAUGUAAGAUCUCAUACCCGACCCUACACAAUUGAGUUGGUGGUUCGUCUUAGUUUUAUUCCCAAUUUGAUGAUUCCUUUGUAAAUAUGAAUUUUGAUCAUUCAGUGGUGGAAAAGGAGCAAAAAAAAAAAAAAAAAAAGGAAGAAGAAGAAGAAGAAAAAAGGGGUAGCAACCAACAAUUAUUGAAGGUAUGAAUAUGUCUUCAUCUAUGAUGAUUGUUUCCAAUGCAGAUACAUGACUGGCAAUCUCUCAUUCCAACUCCUAUCAGCUGUAUCAUCCAAGGGAGAGUAUCCAAUGACUGUUUUAAGUCAGAAAUCAAAAGGAUUUUAUGCUUCGAUUAGAGUGUCAACUUUUGAGUGGAAUAUAUUACUAUAUUACAUUAAAGCAAAUGGAGUUAGGGCACAGUGGUGACUGGUGAGCUAAUUAAUUAAUAUUGAGAUUAGCUGUCCUUAGACAGGAUCUAAUACAACAUUAUUAUCCCACCAUAAUGUUAAGAUACUUCAACCACCAGCCAUUUACUAAUCACCUGUCGCUUCAACUUGCACUGCUGCAAGGAAUUAUCUUCAAAUAGAAAAUUCAAUCAAUGAAUUGAGAACCCACGUUAGGCAGCAAACAUUUGGUAAAUUGGCAUAUGACAAGUCCAUGGUCCACACCAACCUUACAUUUUGUUGGUAUAUAUGGAGAUGGGGGAAGCUCAAUGCACUCUUCCAUCGUCCGUAGUCACUGUUUUAGGCUUGUUUCAGAUUUUGUCCCUCAAAAUGGUAAAAAUAAAUAAUGUAUGCCUGUCGACUAUUUCUAUUUUUGGUUCCGAAGAACACUCCAAACCUUAUAAAGGAGAACGGAAAUUAGAGAAGGUCUGAGAGUCGAAUCAGAAAUCUUAACUACUGCUAGGUUGAAGGGAAACUCCAAAUCUCACGAAAAAGUGAAAAAAUAAUGAAAAAAGUUUGAAAGUCGAACUAAAAACUCUUCCAUUCACCUAAUUAAUGUUUUUACCGAAUUAGUGUCCCCAACUAUGCCGUGUCCGAAGAAAACCGCCAAUCAAUUUUUUAUUUGAACCUGAAAUUACUUUGCAAAUCUCACGUCCUGCUUUUGACCCAAGAUGGAUAUCAAAUGGGCUUGCAAUCCCAUCCACUCCCCAGUAAGUAAUUGAUGUUGGUAAAGACGGCUUGUGCAAAGCUGAAGGAAACAAUAAUGUCUGGUAUUAACAAACUACAAUUAGCCCCAUUCACAAAUGGUGGUUGACAUAGAAGGGUCCAAGCCCCCACGGGUUUAGCCACAUGGUAGCAGCGUUCCCUUGGAACCUUCAGGUCUCGGGUUCGAAACUGCGCUAUGGGGACGCCUGUGCACUUAUCGUACCUUGGUCGGGUUGGGGCGCCGGGCUCGGAUCGCAGGAGAUUAGUUGAACCCCGUAAAAAUUGACCCGGACACCCUGUGUCGACAAAAAAAAAGACAUAGAAGGGUCCAAAUUUGGGGGAACCAAAUCACAUGGCACAUUUUGGACGGGCAUAUGUAUGAGCACCCAAAAUUGACUGGAAAUGAGAUGCCAACUAGCGAACCGCCCACGCCAUUUUGAGGGCCAACAACCACAAAUCGUACCGUAAUCCGCGCAUUACACCGUUGGUAAUCAGUAGUAUUAUGUACAAUCUUUUGAUUCUUCUCCUCCUUAAGCUGGAACGGUGAGAAUCAAAUGCAUUUAUACAUAUCAGGGUUGGAUAGGUAGCCCCUUAAUUAAUUAUGCUCUGUUUGCAUAUUUAGAAAGAGAAAAUGCGCGACAAAACGACGAAAUAGCACACAGCAUGGUAGGACCCCAAAAAUCAAGCUGAAUAAUAUGCCAAAGCGCUGAUAUUAGGGCGGUGGCUCGGAUGAUCAUUGAUCAGCCAGGACAAAGAUGAGGAAAUCAGAGGCAUCAGCAAGAAAUUCGGACUUGCACAUCACAUUACUAAGCAACAAACAGUCGAAUUAUGUGGAAAAAAGUUUAUUCAGAAGAAUACUGUAACACUUCUUGCGGUGUAAUGCGUAUUUAUGAUGCAACCACAACCACUUUAUUUUUUCGGUGGCAUCUCGGUGCAAACCGGAAGGACUUAAACUAAACAUUCAUUGCUUCAACUCCAUUAUUCCAUCCUCCAAGAUGAAAGCGAUGUGCAUGUUUUGAAGAUUACAAAACAUGAUCUUGCACUAAUUUAUUUCCUAGUAGAGUACACAGGUGCAAAUUUAAGUAACUUCUCAUCUCUAAAUCUACACAAAAAUUCUAAUUAGAAUCCUUGUAGUGAGCAUCAGACAGGUAUAUAAAGUGCAGAAAGAAUAAUGGAAGCGACUUCAGUAGAGCAGCUCCUCGAAAACAGGAUCUACACUUUGCCCCCACUUCCCAUGGUACAACUCCAGGAGCUUCUCUGCAGGUGUUACACCUGCCAAGAUUUGAAGGAAAAAAAAUGUCAUGCAUGUGUGUGAUAGAUACGCGUAUUGUCGACGUACUAUAUGAUCCCUUCUCAAGUCUAAACAGUAGAAUUCUGUGAGGUGAAAUCUACAAGAAUAGCUGGAUGCAAUAUGCAUCAAUCCAGAUUAAGAGUCGUGUUUUGACAAUAGCACAAAUCAAGAACUAAUGCACAGCCAGCAGAAUUGAAUCACUUCAAUUUAGAUAAACAAGUGAGAGCGCAAACAAAAAAUCACCAUGGACUGCAAGCAAAGACAAAAUAAUUUUUUAGUAUACAUCUAUUUACCUGUUUUCACAACUUCAGCAACUUCAUUCAAAAAUCCUGUUUCCUUGAAGCCUCUCCUCUCUAAACCAUCCUGCACAUACGAAAUUACAUUUGAAUCAAGAAAAUGGGUAGAAAAAAUGGCAUGAAAAUCUGUCACCAACUUCAAUGCCUUUCAACUCACCUUAGCCAACUUUACCACGUCUUGUGCCACAUGCUUCAGCAGCCCAUCCCGGAAUGGUGUAUUCAAACCACUCUUUGGUACCUACUACAUAAUUUGGAAUCAAAAUGAUAAUUCUACCUUAAUACUAUACUGCAGGAACAGCUCAAAAACCAAUACAAUUCGAGUAAAAUCUAAACCACAUUUUCUUAUCCAUGCUCCAAUCAAUAUAAGGGGACAACCAUGAAAAGCAGGUCAAAUGACCUGAUACUUUAUUCUUUCAAAAAAUGAAUUAUGGACAUACUCAAAAAGUUAUCUUCUGGGUUCAGCAAGUAAAAAAGCUUUAUCUUUUGUAUAGUGAUAUGUCCGUAUCCUAAUUCCAAAUAUGUGGAUCAUUUAGUAGUCCAUCUUUGAUAAAUAAGAAUGCUGAAACAUCUUGCUUUAUGUCCGAGGAAUUUAGAUGUAUAGUGGAAAAAAGCAAUAUGUUAACUAAUUCAAGAGAACUGUAACAGGAAGCUCUACAGGUGCUUCAGAACCCAUGAAUUUGUAGCUUGCCAUAGUUUCGAGUUUCAACUUCCCUCCUCCAAUCAGCAGUCUUCUAAUUGCUGAGAUAUUUCCUACUUAAAGCUAGACCCUCGCAUGCUUGACAACCUUGGAAGUGGACCAAGAGCACAGGGCAAUGAAAAGGAAGCAAAUAUUAAUUUCUCCAAACCAUCAACCUUCCUCCUUAAUCAUCAGUUUUAUUCUUGCUGUCAAAUGCCUACUUAAAGCUAGAUAGUUGUCAGUUAACGGCCAUUAUUUGCUUUAAGAGCACAGGCCAAUGGUAAUGAACACAUGGAACACAUGAUGUAGUUGAUAGCUUCUGCCCAAAAAAUAAUAUUUUUCAUGGUCAAGACAAAUUUAUUACCUUAUUCCUGAGCAUUUGUCUUUCUUCUGCCGUCCAAUCAGCUGUCAUGUCCAGAACACUUUGAAGAGAAAUUUCAUCAUAUAGAAGGCCCACCUGGAAUACAGAUACUUGAUAAUCUAAUGGAACUAAUCCCAAUAUAGAAGGUUUACAACUGAAUUCUCCACAAGGAAAGCAGGCUAUCAAUUUAAGAAUGAGAAGAAUGUGGAAUUCAAGGCAAAAGUAUCACAUGUUUCUACCACUUCAAUUUCUCAGCCAAUAAUCAAAGAAGACUUUUUUUAAAAAAAAUAUUUUUUCCAGCAAGGGAGGGGUGGAAUUUAAGAAGCAGGGAGGGGGAAGGGGGAUUGGAACCCAGGACCUCUAAAUCUCGUUAGCCACUAGAUCAAGGCCUCCUCGGCUAAUCAAUGAAUAUUUGUUAUCCCAUUCCCUCACAAACCCUAAAAGAAGGGAACACAAAAGGCAAGGGCAAGAGCUUGGCAGACCAAACAAUCAUCAUCCAAAGAUUAUCUACAGCAAGUGACAAGCAGUAACCUAACUAUAUAUAACCAAUGUUACCAUUUAAGCCUGUCUCCAAAAUUUUUAGGAAAAGAAACUUAAGAAGAACAAUCACUUCUGAGAAGACAAGCCUAAGAAGAAGACAAAAACCAUUCAUUGACCGAACAAAUAAUUCUUUCAGUUCUAUCUUCAAGUAACACUCGUACUGAUACUUCCCAAUUGAGACAACAAAAUGGCAUGGAUAGCAAAUUCUAGAAAGAAGCUCUAUACCCAGAAUGCAGGCAGCGCACAUAGCCUCCUCCAAGGUCCUCCAUCAGCACCUCUCAUCUCCAAAUAUCUCUUAAGCCUCACCUAAUGAAAAUCAGGUUGAGGUCUAUUUUCAUAUAUGACCUCACUCAAAAAGCAGCAUGGACAAGAUACAGAAUAUUAUCAUCACAUCAAUCUCAGCCAAGAACACAGACCUCAGGAAAUAUUGUUGUGAGAUGAUUCUCCCAGUCAUUCAGGCUCGGAUAUUCACCAGGAAUAGAAGGAAGUUUUCCUGCCAUAAAAUCCUGCAAAUAAUUUACAUUAAAAGAUACCUUUUACAUUUACUAAACAAAUAUUGUUUGAUCUGCAAUCAGAAUUUCAAGUACAGUUAAAUACCCGGAAUGACAUUCCAGCACAGUUGACAUACUCCUUUUUCCGAUACACAAAAUACAUUGGCACAUCAAGAGCAUAUUCUACAUAUUGCUCAAACCUGUAAGAAUGCAAAUAAAGGGUAUUACUGUGGGGAUGAAUUGAUCCAUGAAAAUCUUUUUAGAAGAGAUCAACAAUUUGUUAUCCCAUCUUUCUUCAAUGUUCGAUGCAAAUCAAGAACAUCUUUCGAACAAAAUAGGUGGGAGCAGAAUGAAUGAACCUUUAGUUGGAAUGUGUGGUCACCUGCCAAUCUAAUAAAAGCUAAAGGAGAAUUCUACAUUUUCAAAUGUUAAUUUUUCUUUUAAUUAUUCUUUUUAGAGUUCUCUGUUUCUAUGCUGUCUUCCAAGUAAUAUGUGCUCUUAAAUGGUUAACAAUUUGUGAAAAAUCAUAAGAGUAAAAAAUUGAGGCAAUGCAUAAUCAUGUAUCAGCCCCCUACUAGUUGAUUUGUUUUCCAAAUCACCAUGCAACAUUUUAAGUAGAGAGACAUAAGACUGUAUUUUUUUCAUCCAAUUAUUUCAGAAAACUUGGAGAACCUACCCAAAAGAGUCAUCGAAGACAAAGGGAAGCAUGCCUGCACGAUUAUUAUCUGUAUCUGUCCAAAUUUGGCUGGUCAAGAAAGAAUUUUGUGAGAUCCUAGUACAGAGUUGCAAUUUCACCAAAACAACGAAAUAUAGAUCAUUCUAUCAGUACCUUCGCAUGCUAAGAUAUCCAUUUGGUUUUCCUUCAGUGAACGGUGAAUUUGCAAAUAAAGCUGUGGCAAUCUGUUUCACUGCCCUGUUAGAUCUCAGAAAACAACAUAUGCUUUUUCAAUAGAUAUGAAGAAGAAUUCUCACAGGCUGCAGUGCAAGACCAGCUCGGAAUUUUCUUAUCAUGUCAGCUUCAGAACUGAAGUCCAGAUUCACCUGCCAAAAGCGGGACAAAUAUAACUUCCGCUGCACAAUUAUGACUCUUCACAGACCAGAACCCAUGAGAAAUGGGAAGAGAGAGAUAAUCCGUAGCAAUUAUUAUCCAUCUACAACAUACAGAAUUAGUACUGUGAAAAAAUAAAAUCAAAUAUUCUCACCUGAACAGUACACGUUCUGAACAUCAUGUCAAGCCCCAGUGAGCCAACUUUAGGCAUGUAAUUUCUCAUAAUUUCAUAUCUCCCCUGAGCCAGAAUACUAGGUAAGCAUACCAACAGCAAACUAAAGCUUAUGGAGCAAACUAGUAACAGUAACAGUAUAAUAAUGUACUAAAUACAAGACUAAAGAUGUCACAGACUAAAUGAAAAUUGGAUUUAUUUCACUAUUACCUUCGGCAUUAUAGGUAUGUCCUUUAAUCCCCAUUUGGGUUGGAAACCAAUUCCUAGAAAUCCAAUGCCCAUCUCCUCUGCAACAGCUUUGACCUGUGCAGUUCAUUUCAAAACAAAAAUCAAAUUAUAAACAAUUUGUAGACUUUUUUGUUCCAUGUAUUUUGAGAGAAAAACAGAGAGGUUCAAUAAGUAAAUUGCCUGGACAUUCAAAGUAACGCCUACCAGAAGAAUUUCCACACAAAAGAAUGAAAAAUGCUAUGGAAGAAAAUUUCCUUUGCCAUAUGAAAAAUAGAAAGUUUUGUUGCAGAAACAGUGUAUUUCGAUAGGAUAUUACUAGGAAAAUUUUUUGGAAUAACACUAUAGCACUUUUUUGUCAUGUGAUAUAUGUGAAAAUAAAUAGGUUCUUGGAAGAUAAAAAAGUAAUUGGAAAAUGUCUUUAUGAUGCAAUCACAAUUUAUUUUUGCAAAUAACAACCUAUCCAAACACACCCAUAUUUAGAAGGGCAGUAGAGGAGCUCAAGUAAACCAGUGAAACUAUAAAGUUAGUGACCAAGGUCUACAAUACGGUAAACAUUUUACCUGGAAGAAAAUGAAGAGAGUCUCUAGUACUAAAAGUUAUGUGUAAAAAUGCGUCAUGAUACUUUUAAUUCCACGUAAAGAUAUAUACAUACUUGAAAAGAACAGAGGCACAAAUAAUACAUCAUCAGCCACCAUGCAUAUAUGUGCAACAGAGGGUUAUGCACAUUUAAACUAUUUAAUAACUAAAAUUCUAGUCUAUCAGAACUCAGAUUCUUCGUUUCAAAAAGAAAGUAGGACAAUCUUUCAACAGGAGGGCGGUGGAUUCCAUAUUUAAUUUAAUAUGUGUAACAAUUUUUUUGGACAAACCUGGUAAAGAUGUGAAUUAACCUCUGCACAAGUUUGAUGCAGAGUUUCAAGUGGUGCACCACUUAACUCAAAUUGGCCACCAGGCUCCAGUGAUAUGCUUUGCUUUCCCUGACCAGAUACAGAGUAAAAGCUUCUCACAACUAUGAUAAAAGGGAUAAAUCUCAAACUUUGUUAUCAGAACCCAUCAAGAUGAACAAGGAGAUAAAAUCUUAAGGAUAUUUGAAGUAACUGACUAGCAUUGAAAGUAAUUAAUACAUGAUGAACACCAGGAAAGAAUAAUAUACCUGUUUCAGACCAAUAAUGUUCUCGCCCUCCAUUAUUUUGUCCCAGUCAAAUCUCUCAGAAAUACUAUUAAGCAACUCCGCAAUUUGUUCAUAUUUCAUUGGUCGGAGAGUCCCAAACUCAAAACCAAACUUUUCAUGUUCAGUGCCGAUUCUGUCAAGUCCAAGGAGUUACAAGAAGGUUAUCAAAUCUACCAACCCCUUGAGUUGAUUUAACCCCAUAGAAACACACAUACACACGCAUAAAAAAACUUAAAAUAAGUCAUGUAAUUAAUAAUUCAAUUGUUUCAGUUUGAUAGGAGUUCCAAGUGACUACUCACAUCAUGCCUAAAAGCAGUUCUAUUAAAUUCCACAUAACAAACAAGGAUGGGGCAUUGUUUAGGCAAAAAAGGGUGCAACUGAAAAUCGAAGUACCAAUAAAAGCUAGAAGUUGAACCUCCAUUUCUCCUUAGGCUUGCAUCCGGAAGCCAGGUACCCUACAAGAUCUUCCUUUGUCAGUGGCUCUGCAGCAACAACAGCAUCCUCUGUAGGAGGGCUUGCAGCAACAAUCACCUGGUGUUUCCUUUUACUCUCUCCAGGACCAUAACUCCUUCGCUGCUUCGACAAAUUUGACGAAGAGAAACGGAAACCAAAACAAACAUCCUUAACUUUAGACCCCUCCAUGCUGCCGGUUAGGCUAUAAACCACACUGUGUCCAGCUUUACAUCUUACGAUCUCAGGCUGAACGCAGUAUGAUGGACCAGCCUGGGACAUUAGUGCCAUUUUUACACCUGAAAAGUCAGAAAUGCCAAGUUUUACUAACAGCUUCUCAUGCCCAAACCAGCAGUCAGAAUUUAUAGAUCUUAGCAUCAAUAAUUGAACAGCAUAACACUAAAUUCAAAUUAUAUUCUGUGUGAUAUACAAGAGGAGAAAGUUUUCUUAUUUGACCAGUUAAAACUAUUUCACAAAGCCAGCAGGCAAGAUAAGCUAAAAACAGAAAAGAAAAUGUACACCAAUGACAAGUUCAAACAUAAGUUCAUACACAAAAGAGCUAAAGAUUUGAAUGCAAAACCUAUUUCAACGAAAAUCGGCUCAUUAAUGCAUCUUUUCUCUUGUUAUGUUAAUGGCCUAGUCCAGAAUGAGAAUUUCAGUGCCGAUCUAGACUGCACAGAAUCUUUUCUACUAUAAGAAAAGGCAAUUUAUAUUUUUCUAGUGGGAAAAGAUUUUAAAAUGCCUAUAAGCAGAAACAUCAUAGUUUAAUACGUACAUAUCUUAAACCAUUAAUAUCUGCUUGUAAGCUCUCAUGCAUGUCAAAACUUCACAAUGCAAAAGAAAUAAAACUCCAGAAGCCGAGUAAGAUUCUUAAAGUCAAAACACAUUUAAAAAAAAAAAAACAAUAAAACCAGCAAUACUAGAAACCUGUUGGCUGUUGCUAUCCAAGUAUAAGUCAAAAUACUUCAACACAGUUUAAGCAACUUUGCACGACAAAGUCGACUCAUCAAAAGCAAACAAUAUAUUUUAAAAAACCAAUUUAGCCAAGGAAAACAACAGAUAACUGCCAAACUAACAAAGAUUGGUUCUUGCAAUCUCAUAUAAAAAAGAGCUUUAAGUGAUUCAAAUUAUACAACCAUCAGGAACUCAAAAAUAACACUCCAGAACCCAUUCGCAUAAAAUAAAUAAAACAAGAAAAACAAACAAUUAGAGCUCUAAAAAUUCAUUCUUUGACAUAUACGAGACUAAAGGAAAUGCUCCACAUUAGCAGAAUUCUGCCCUGGGAAUCAUAGUCAUAAACAUGCAGACACCAAAAAUCUAAAAUAAUAGCAUAACCAGAUAAAAUCCCCCCAUAAACACAAAAGGGUUUUGCACAGCAAGAAUAAAAAAAAAAAUUGAUUCUUGACAUGGUACAAGCCAAUGGCAUGGCCCCAGAAAGGAUGACAAAUGUAAGGAGAGAUGAGAUAUACCUGAGCCCUUAAAUUCUUGGGACAAAAUAGAAAAUUUCCGGAUUCGGGGAAGAUAAGUGAGAUUUGAGUGAGGGAGGGAACAGAGGCGCUUGGAAAUGGCAAAGGGAGAAAGAGAUGAGCUGAAAGAAGGGUGGUGACCGGGGUGACGUGCUUGGGAUACAAAUGGUACAAUUUGGGUCUGUUGCUUUAUUCAGAGUGUCCCUAAUAAAGAAAGGUUCAGGGUGCGUGCACCAGGCCACUUGGCUUGGAGAGUGGCACGGGGAACUAAAUACUCCGGCACCGAUCCAUAUAUUUUUCAAUCUGGUCCCCAUAGCUUCUUCGAUGUUGACACGUCAUCUCAUCGUAAAGAUCUUAACAGCGACCCCCAAGUAUAACCAUGGUAACACUGCGGAAGAGUAAUCGUUUGACUAAGUGAAUCAUGGUCACCUCUCAUCUCCCACCUCUGAAGACUCCCAAUAAUACAGCCGCCGGCGGCAGUGGUAUGACAUCAAAAGUUCGUGCCGCCUCACACAUACAUACUAACUGCGGUGAUUUGGAAUUGGAAAAUUUAUUUAAUGGAAUCAUUAUUGUCUGCUCUUACAUGCUUGCAUACGUAAUUUUUUUCUUUCUUGGUCAAAAUAAACUUGGCCACUUAAUCUCUAUAAUCAUCACAUUGCACGUUAGAAAGCAAAUAAUUAAUCCCCUUAUUAAAACCAAGAAAAGAAACACGGAUGAUGGCUCUUACGAGUGUGCAAACAAGCCGAGUCGAGCUUUGGGUUUAUCGAACCGAAUCUCCAGUUAAUUUCAUGAAGCUCAACGAGCUCAAAAUGUCAAGUUCGAAUUCGAACUCGACUCAAAUUUUAUUUUUUAAAAUGAAUAAAAUAAUAAUUUUUUACAAAUAAUAAAAUAUUAGGAAUAUAUGUAAUUUUACUAUUAAAAUAAUAUAUAUAUAAUCAAGAUCGCAUGUGGCUCGCGAGCCAACGAACUUAAUAUUUUUUAACUCGAGUUCGAUAUUGACCGAGCUCGAGUCGAGCUCGUAUUCGAGCCGCUCGCAAGCUGAUUCGUGAGCAGCUCUAGCUAUUACUAUUAUAAUAUUUCAUGGUAUCAGUCAUUAGUACUAUGAUCAAAUUAAUCAAGCUUUCAGGAUAAAAUGUUUGUGACAAAGACAAUAAUGGUUUUGAUGUAGUGACAUAUAGGCGAAGAGAAGUAAACGAAUUGUUCAUUGACGUGUGGUAAUAUGAGGGAUUAAUCCACUUGAAUUGCAGGAGGGCCCGAGGAUAAUGGAAAGGCAUCAGGAAAUUCUGCUCCAAUACAAGAAAUAAUUCAUGGUUAUUGGCAUUGGCAGCACCUUUUGUCAAGAAACAUAUGCUCGUUCACUUUCAGGAAUUUUAUUUUUUUUUCUUUCUUUUGGGUCUAAAGGGUAGGGAAACUCCAAACUAGGGUUGCAAAUAAAUCGGAUCGGUCGCAAGUAACUCGAGUCCGAAAUCGAUUAUAUAUAUAUAUAUAUAUAUAUUAUUUUACUAGUAAAAUUACAUAUAUAUUUUUAAUAUGUUAUUAUUUAUUAAAAAAAAUUUAUUUAUUAUUUUUUUUAAACCCAAACUCGAGUUUGACAUUUUGAACUCGUCGAGUUCGAAUUGAAAUUCGACAUUUGUUAAAUUAUGUUGAGUUUUGACUCGAUUAGAAUAAAACUCGAUUCGAUUCGAGUCAUUUGCAUCCUUACUCCAAACUUUAUACUAAGAAGGAAGAGGGAGGGAAAAGAGAUACUUUGAGAAUAGAAUCAAGAAUCUUAUAAUUGCAUAACUAAUGUACCUACCUUAAAGUGGAUCUCGCCAUUACCUAAUUAAUAUCCCUACCUAUCAAGUUGGGUGUUGAGAAAGCUUGGCAUCCAAUUCAUCCAGCUUGGUACAACGUUCCAGUAAAGCAAUGCAGUCAAAAAUGUCUACGUCUUUGUGUGCGUGGGUGACAAAGACGAGUUAUGGAAUCCAAUCCAAGAGACUGUGGAAGUGGAAACUGAGAAAGCAUAUUGGAUGAAUGCUGCGGAAUGGAACCACAAGCAAGCACAACAAUUUCCUGACUUUCUAUUCAGCGUUGUUACUUCCCUUGGAAGCCAAAACCAGUGCCAUGGAAGUGUUUUAAUACCCCAAUUAUCCCAAAUAAUAUUUCGCUUGCAUCAUAGACACAUUUUUCAACCCACCUUUUUAUAUUUCCAACCACCUUUUUAUCUCACAUACAUCAUAUCACAAAAAGUGCUACAGUAAUUAUUCCAAAUAAUAUUUCAAAUAAUACACUAUCCAAACAAACCAUAAUGGUUGAAAUCCCAACCUUAUUACUAGUCUUUCUAUUGCCGUAAGCCCUUGGAAGUAAAGAUGCGUCGAGGAUUUAAACUCAAAAUCUCUAAUUAUUGAAAUCCCAACCUUAUCCGCUGUAUCACUUGAAAACAUAUUAAAUUUUAACAUAUAUCACAUCAAAAAAGUAUUGCAGCAAUUUUUUUCCAAAAAAAAAAUUAUCUCAAACAAUCUACUAUCUCCUUUUUUAAUUUUGUUCUUCUUACUAAUUAGUUUUUUUUUUAAUGUUUUCAGUGAGAGGUUAUAAGGUGAAAACCGUUAUUUUUUCUAGUGUAGUUUUGGCAUUGUAAGAAAUCACGCUUAGUACCUGCUACAUUAAUAUUAUUGACCUAUUUCGUUUCCAGGUUACAGAAAAUACAUACCUAUAUAUACUUUUGGGUAGAGAAAAAUAUAAAUAUAUCUCCUAAUACAACUUUGUUUUUCUAAUAGUUGGAUUUUUUCUACCGUUAAUGCUUGACAAAUACGCCUUGUUUUGAACAUUUACUAUACUUGUAUGUUCUCAAAAACUAGCUUAAUCAAUGUUACAAUAGCUAGAUAGACUUCAUGAUUCAACUUUUAAACCUUCACAUUUUCUCUUUUCAUUGUAAAUAUACCAGGUUUGUUUUGUUAGUGGAUUAUUAGCAAAAUAUAAUUAUUUACUCGUAUUAUUGACACAUUUUUUAAUUAUUCUUUUAUAUCACAUAUACCCCCGUUGAAAAAAUAAUACGGUAUUUUUUUUUCACAAAAAAUUAUCCCAAGAAUCAUGUAUAGUUCGAAAAUAUGAGCUGCAAAUAGAAUUGUUCCUUCAAUUUCUUUCGGGUGCUCAAAAAAAGGGGCUGGACAAAUGAUAAAUCAGUCUGGACCUAAAACCAAAAGUAAACCAAUCCGAGCCCUGAAUUGUGUUGGAGAAAUUACUCUUCCGCCCACAUAUCCGGGCUUUUUGUGCCAAGUAGGCAAGCUGGGGAGUGGCUUAAGCCUUGCCUUAUGAUGGACUGUCAUCGGGCUCCUCCAAUGGGACAACAACCCAACCCAUGCCCCACAAUAGAAACUUUUGGGCAAAGAGAAAUCGUGAAGCAAGACACAGGUUUAGGUGAUGAUAUGAAACCAAAACCACCCAAAUCCCUCCAUCCAAACACACCCUAAGUGGACUGCCCACUCCCUCGCGAGGCUAGGGACAAACCAUAAAUAAAGCUCCCAAUCAGAUUCGUUAAGCACUUGGAGGUUGAGUCCGACUCUAAACUCUAAAGUAGGGGCGCAUUAAGUUCAUGAUGCUGCCACGGAUCAUAUAAUUCCUGACAGGUGCAGUCUCUUAUGCACGCAUUCUUCAAGUUACAUGGAUUCCAAGGAUUGGAGGAGGGGCAGCAACGUUGUAAGAAUUGGAAGCAACCUUUCCUGAAGGUUCAUGGUCAAGAUUUGGUCGAAAAAACAUGUAAAGUUCAAAUUACAUCUUGCAAAUCAUUUUUUCCACAUUCUAUAGUUACACGUUGUUGAAAGUGAAUCAUACCGCAUGCAUAUAAAGUUAGUUACACGUUGUUGAAAGUGAAUCAUACCGCAUGCAUAUAAAGUUACGUACGAUUUUCUGACAAACUAUUCCGGCCCCUUGUCCCCAAGAAUUGUAUUCCAAGGACUCUUUGUCACAUAACGGUUAUGCCAGAGGUAUCUUCCUCCAGUUUGCUCUUGGACACAGCAUCCAACAUUUCACUCCCCACAGUUCUAUUUCUAUAAUCUAUAUAUAAUCUUUUUUCCGCUUUGAAAGGACACAAUUUUGGCCAUUUUAAAGACUAAACAGUCCAUUUGCGUUCUUUGAGUCCCAAAAAUGUAAUGUAAAUGGAAUCUCAUUGUGGUUGGAAAAAUACCACACUCACUCAAUCCCAAUUAUGGUAUUUUGAAAUUUCACAUUCAUCAUCGCGUCAUAGUACAAUCUCAUGCGUUACAAAUUUAGAUCACGAGGUAUUCUGUUCCGACCAUAGUUCGAAGGUAGAACACAAUGACACAGAUGAAAUGAAAAAAGUCCAUAACAGAACUCUACGAUAUUCAUAAGAGUUUAAUGGCAGGCUUGAAAUCAACAUGUCUCGCAACCCAAGUAUCCUAAUCUUGUAUGAAUGAAGAAACUUUCUGGUGUCUCACGCCAGUACGAGAAAUGGAGGACAGGCAUCGUAAUGUCAAAGCAACAAGCAAUCUACAAAAGCGGCUAACUAGAAUGUGCUUCAAAAGGCGCCGCAUACCUUCUCGAAACUGCAGGUUUUGCGGAUUUUAAUGAUCCACAAGGUUGUUGGCAAAAACAUAGCACUCGAAAUUUGUAGACAACUCACAAAUGCAACUUGCUAGAUGGAAAAAAUAGGAACUAAGAACCAAAGUGAUGCCAAAGAGAUUACGCAUUAAGCAGCAGCUAGGCACAUUCAUCAGACAAGCAGACUAUGAUGCGUAAAGAUAACAUAACCCUCCAACAAUAAGUCCAUUUCCAUAGCUAGACGUGUCCUCAAGAAACAUCCAAUUCCUUCAUUAUUAACUUUUCUAACUGUAUAAGAGUAGCAUCAACAAUAACAGUAAUUAUAAUAAUAAAAGAGACACUGAAGCAAGAUAUUGAAUCUUAAACAUCCAUAUAAUGGAGUUCCGAAAUAUAGUGGAAUCAAUACAUACAUGAGAUAUUCAAUGCUAGUCCAAUGUGGACCACAUUUUCCAUUCCUUUGACUUCUAUUUUGCUUUCCUUUUUAUCUCCUAGUUAUACACAAUUUAUAAAUUAGAUUAAGCACAACAUACUGUACAAUGGGAAGAUGUCACCAGAAACCAUCAUCAACAUCAACGGUUGGGUGGGGAUCAUCUUCUUCCUCUAGUUCCAUCUCUAACUCUGGCUCAAACUCAGCUGACUCGAUGUCUGCAAGGUUUUUCAAAUCAACCACAGAGAGCUCAUCAAGGCGUUUAACAACCAAGUCAGCAGCUCCAAGCUCAUACAUUGGAUGUUUGCUUGCAACAGCUACACAUUUCAUCCGAGCAUCAUGUGCAGCCUCCACAGUUUGAUUCGAGUUCCCAAACACAAUACACCGCUCGGGUAUGUAUUGUAAAAGCUGUGCUGCAUACACAAACAUCUCUGGAUCUGGUUUCCCCCGAUAGACAUCCUCUGCUGCAACAACAACAUUAAAGACCUCUUCAAUCCCAACAGCACCAAUUGCAGUCUCCAAAUUUUUUCUAGGUCGGGUGGACACCAAAGCAAUUGGGAUUUUGUAAUGCAUCAAGAUAUUGACAAAUUCCUGAGAACCAGGUCGGAAACUGUAGAUCCCACCCUGCAAGGCUUGAUAAAUUUCCUCCUUCCGACCAGCCAUUCUUUUCAACUGAACCGGAUCUCUUGACCAGCAAAGAACCUCUGAUAUUGCUUGCUCAUUCUUCAUUCCUUCGAUCCUUCGAAGGACGAAAGCUGGAGGAGGUGAUUUUCCUUCUUCCUCGGAAAGAGCCAACCAAGCUUGCUUCUCAAGAUCCGGAUUAUCUUCAAUGAGCACACCAUCCCACUCGAAUAUAGCAGCUAGCCAUCCACAUCCCAUCCUUUCUUGUCGAAGCAAUGGAUUUUGAAGGCCAGGAUUAUCUGCCUUAUUAGGUGGUGGCCAUAAUCCCGGCAUUCUAUCAACACCAGUAUCAAUCUGGUAUCUAAAAUCCUGAUAAGAUUGCCCCUCUUCUCUGUAUGCGUAUGCCUCUUUAGUCAAUUCCAUCGCCUGACACUUAAUUAGCUGCCGAUGGGCUUUUAAUCUCGGCAGAGAUGAUGAAGAAACAAGUUUUCUAAAACGAAAUUCCAUUGGAGGAAACUUGAUGAUAUCGAUUGCCCUCCGUUUGCCUGAAACAUCCUUGGAACAAUAGCCUCCAUACAGCGGAAGAUUUCCCAAAAGGGAUGUGGUAGCAAAGGAUUCCACCAUUUUUAACGACAGAAGAUGAAAACCACAGCCAAAUCUGACCUAUAUAUCAAACUUUACACUCUUUCCCCCUAAAUUGGAAUCCUUUUUCAAGUUCUUGCCCAGUUAAAUGCAACAGAACCCUCACAAACCAACCAAACUGACCUUAAUUUCAAUAUAUUUAAGUAUCCAGAAAAAAGUAAAGCUUUUUUAAAUCGAACUAAUCCUUCCUUUGAACACAAAAACCAAUAUCAAGACUAAUAAUAUACGACUCUAGCUUUGGAUUCCAGAAACCCAAGUGCUACUUUUUCUCAACAGGCUCCCAAUUCACACAACAAUAUAUUCUUACAGACUAUAUUUAAUUACAAAGAACCUUCUUUUGAGAGAACUCACAGAUUAUUCCCCAAGACCAACCAAAAAGAGAGGCAAAGAAAGAAUAACCAAACAGCACAAAUAUCCCAACUUUAUUUAAUAGCCAUUAAAGUACUUCCAUUAUCGGAUAAUCCAAACAAAAAACCGUGCAAAAUCCACUGGCCCAAAUCAACAAUUAUUGCAUUAAACAACUUAAAAAAACACGACUCGAUAAUUAACUAAAGCCCAGAAGGCAUGAGCUUGUGAUAACCAAAAAAGGAAGGAUUUUUAUUAAUAUAGUUAUACGCAGUAAAAACCCAACAAAAUUCAGAUAAAUUAAGGGUAAGAACUUGGACCAAAUUCAAUAAAAAUCUGAACUUUAUUGGAUUUAAAUCUAGAGUCUUGAAGAGAGUACUUAAAUAUGUUGUACAGUGGUAUUUAUAUACAGGGAGAAAAAGGCAGGAAGGAACCUGAAUGAGUGAAAAAGGAUGCCUGGAUUGAAGAGAAAGAUUGGAUUUUGAUUUAUUUGGAAGAGGUGAAUUAUUUAUGUGUGGUUUAUAGGCAAAGAUGGGGGAAGCGGGUACUUGUUUCAGGAGUCGAAUUUGGUCUUGGAAACCGUAUGGUGGUGGCCGGCGGAGGCUAAUUGUGUCCAGAAGUACACGCGGGCAAUGUAUGAAUCUUUCAGGAAAUUUCUUUUUCUUUAUUUUGUAGGUAAUUGAUACGUUUUGUUCCCGAAAGAGAAAGGUCAGCUUUAUUCAAGGAAAAGAUAUAACUAAUCAGGGAAAUUCCCCUGCUAAUUAUCUAAAUAUAGAAAGUAAACCGGAGAUGACCAGUAUAUUUAAUCUUUUUCUCAAAAAAAAUAAAGAAAAAGAAAUUUCUAUAUCAAGUUUGCUUCGGUGUUGACACAAAUUUAAGUAUCCAUAUUAAACGCAAUUAUGAUUUAACUAUUCUUUCAGAAUUAUUGGCAUAGAAGUCUACAAGCUAUAGAAGUCUACAAGCUAUUUUGAAAAUUUUCUUCUUAUUAUUUUUUUUAGGAUUUUCUCUUCCUUUACUGUUAAACCAUUAAUGCUUUUUUUUGCAAAAUAUGUCUGUAUAUUGUUAGCAUGAGAAGGAUGAAAUUUAAAAAAUAAAAAGGAAAAAUGAGAAUUUGAACCCAAUACCUCUUAAUUCUGGAAAAGUCGUUAUGUGUCUGUCGUAGUUCUAUAAUUAUACACACAAACUUUCAUCAAGAUCGCAACACUUAGAAUAGAACCAAGCAUUAUUGAUACAUGUUACACGCAUAUUCUCCAAUUUCUAUGUGGGUGGAUAACAAUCCAAAUUGUAUCUUAGGGUAAAAAGAGAAAGACAUUCAAUUUGUGUCUUAUCUAAUUUGUUAAGACCAGUGUUAUGGUAUCAUUAACUCGUGUGACGUGCAUCUUUAAUAUCUACAAGAAAAAUACCUUCUUGUGCAUAAAAUUGUAUCCUGAGAUUUGUUCAGACUUCAAAAUUCAUAAUUAAGUUAGGUACGCUAGUAAAGAAUUCAUUUUGAUUGAAGAGAUAUCGUUUCAUCUAAUAAAUCUGGACGAAUGACAUAUAUGUAUAGAUCUGCAAUCAAUAGAUACAACAGACUUAAGAAAAGAAAUUUCAUUAAACGAGGCAAUGGACAUUAUCCACCAAAAUCAGAAACUUAGCAAUCCAAGUGAAAUAGAGGUCUUGGAACAAAAUGGUGCCUCCAAUUAAAGUAGCUUAAUUGCGUUGCUACAUCCCAAUCAUCAGCUACAAGAAGGGAUUAAUCUAAUUAAGGUGGAAUGUAUUAUACAGAUUGAGUCCUUUUCAAGGAACAUUUUUUUUUUUAUUAAUCCAGUGAACUGUGGAUAAGAACUUACAGGAGGGGUCAACGCUCUUCUCCAAUCAAGUCCGCAAUCUAUUUUCUUUUUGUUGUUAAGCCUCGGGAAAUGUAUAACUUAUUUAAUCCCUACGCUUCGCUUGUUUAUUUGGUAAUCAGUUGUUUCUUUGCCUCUUGGAUACCAAAAUUAUUCCAAAUAAUAUUUCGCUUGCAUCACAGACACAUUUCCCAACCUACAUUUUUAUAUUCCCAAUCAACUUUUUAUCUCACAUACAUCAUAUCACAAAAAAGUGUUACAGUAAUUAUUCCAAAUAAUAUUUCAAAUAAUACACUGUCCAAACAAACACACUGGCUGACAUAUAGGAUCAAAGAGCUGAAAUUAAAAAAAAAAAAAAAAAGAGAGUCUAAUCUUCUUUUAUUUCUACUAUGACUCCUUUUUCUUUUGGUAUGUAUUUCUUUCUAAAUAGAUAAUUUCUUAAGCAUUUGCUAAUCAUUUAGGAACCAAUCAAAUUAAUGAUCACAUAGUUAGUUGUUAUUACUUUCAUUUUCAUGUCUGACCAUCGAGAUCCUCCAAACAAAUGGGUCCCUUAACGCAUACUUGCACGGCAAUUUCGCUCAGAAAUUGUGUUGAAAUCGGAAUUCAUCACACGAUAAAUAUGCCAAAAUAAUGGAAAUUAGUAUCCGCAGGUGGUUAAAAACAAAAAAGGGGUCAGAAUAAAGAUGCGUACACCUUCAAAAUACCGCACGAAAUUAACACGAAGAAAUCCUGAAUUUUAUGCUAAAGCAGAGCCAAAGCAGCCAAAAGCAAAAUCAAAAAAAUGCAGAGGAAAAGCUGUGGUCCAUGAUUGGUUAGAUGAGCCCACAAAGCCACCACAGAAUCGUGUAGACCAUUCCAUUUCACAUUUGUCUACCGACACGUUUCAUAUACAUGUUUGUUUCCGGGGGCAUAACAUUAAUUAAAAGAUAGAAAAAAAACUACUCGAUACUAAUUUAACAAGAUCUCGUUUGGCAUUGGUUCGACUUCGCCAAUUAGUCACGUUAAAUUUAAAUAAUAUUUUAUAAUUGAUGACUUUUAAAUUCGAUAAAAAAAUUUGUUUCGGCAAAUAAUUAAGUCAAAUUUAGAUAAAAGUUUAGACUCGUUAAAAUAAUCAAACAAAAUUGAAUACUGAAGUGUUCGACUUUAACUUAACGAAGCUUGUUUGCACGCCUACCAGUAGAUGAGAUUCAUUGAUUGAAUCUAAAGAAAAGGUUUGAUACGAGUGCAAAAGCGUAGCGUAGAAGGCAUUGAAUAAUUGAUGAACUGAAAUAAGCCGGAUAUCUUUCCUUGUUCAGUUUCGAGAGCUUACACAUUAUUAAUAGAUACACGCUUAGAAAGAGCUUAGAACUUGUUUGGACAAUAAGUUUUUGUUCCUUCAAAAAAAAAAAAAAAGCUUUUGUUAAAAAAAAAUACUGUAAUGUAUAUGAGGUAAAAAAAAGUUAUUAGAAAAUAUGUCCAGAGAUUUUUUUCUUUUUUGCGAAAAUUCAGAAUUCAAACAAAGGCAUUUCAAAACUGGUUCUUGUAGCGUAAGAUUUGCUAUGCUUGGAUAUUAAUUUUUUCUAAAAUAAUAUUUCGCUUGCAUUAUACACAUAAUUUUCAAUCUUUUUUUUUAUAUUUUCAACUACCUUUUUAUCUCAUAUACAUCACAUCACAAAAAAGUGACACAGUAAUUAUUUGGAAUAAUACCCUAUGGCCGCGAUAAUACUCUAUCACACCUUUUUUCAUCUUUACAACUUCCAUUACGAGUUUGUCAAGCAUAAUAGAAAGAUAUUCAAUGCAUCUGCCGUAUUCCAUUUUAUAGCACAACAAGAAGUCAAUCUGUGGAUAAAAUCCUUCUAAAGCUUCAGCCAAACAUAAUUUUACAACCUUGACGUCACUGUUAAAGUUACAGAUAUUUAAAUUUUUUUCCCCAUUGAGAGGGUGUUUUGAAUAAGAGAUUUCUAGCGACAAAACGACAGAGAAUCCCAGAAAAAUGGUUUUUGUACAGUAAAAACCCAAAAUACAAAAAUUUAACGGUCUGCUUGGUGCCACAUAAUUUGAAGGAACGUGUCAAAGUUACGGCUGUUCAUGCUUGAUAUACAAGAGAAAUAUCAAGCUCAUCUUAUGGAUUUAAUACAAGAGAAAAAAUAAUAAAAGGUACUGAUCUCAUUCCUCAUUCUUCAAUGACUUGCCAUCUUUUUCAGCCAUCAAUCAUCCCUUGGAUGAAUUUUCCUCAUAUUGCGGCCAGGUAAGGAAGAAUGUAGAAUUUCAGCUUGGCCGAUGCAAGACGCUAUUUUUGGUCCCCGAAAGGCACUAAUUUUCUCACCUAUUUGAUCCUUUUAUGAAAAGGCUGCGUAAGCGCUAUCCAAAUGCUGUAACAGAUACCUUUUCUUAGUGAAAAUAGCAGAAAAGAUUCCUUCAAGAAAAAAAAAAAGAAGGCACAAAAGAUGGGGAAAGAAACAACUCGUUCCAGCGUAGCUUGUCCUUGGCAUAAUCCUGAUCUUUUCUUUUUAUCUCUCAACUACUAGAAUCAAUAUAUUUGAACCCUAAACUUAGUAGCGAAGGAAACUCUAAAAAUUCUGUUCUGACCACUGAAUCACUGAACCAGCUCCAGUGAUACUAAUUAUCCUAUCUCAACUGCUAAGAAGAUUUAUGAAAGAAUCAAAAUUUGACUCCCAAAUUGUACAUAAGGCCUGAGAUUUGGGUGGUCAAGACUUACACUGUGAGAGACCAUAUCAUCUACAGUAAAAUUUUGGUGGAGGAAAGACCAAGUUUGAAUUUAUUACGGGGUAGAACUAAAAAUUAAACAGAUUUUAAGGCAUUCAACUCUGAUUUUCAAGCUCUUGGGGGGCUUGCCAUCGAGCCAUGGCAAAGUUGGAAACAAGAUCAGAAAUAAAAACCAGUAAGAUAACACGCUGAAGAGCUACGUGUAACAUGAGUUUUGCUGUGCAUGUGGAUGAGUCUCAGUCGCAAAUCUGAGUAUCCUAACACGUGUACAUCUCUAAUCACAUAUAUAUGACAAGAUUUUAGACACGUUAACGCUUUACAGGUAGAGGCAAAUUGAGAGAAAGAGAGGCAAAAAUGGAGUCAACUAAGGAGAGAAGAGAGCAGGUGGAGAAGGAGCAAAGGGAACAAAAGGGAGGUGUUGAUCCAAUAGCCAAGGCUAGGGAGGUACUUCAAGAAGCUGUCAUCAGCAAAGAUGAUGGAAAGGCUCAGGGCGAUAAUAAUGACGAGAAGGAAGCAGCAAAAGACCCUGAUGACAUUUUGGUUUUUGCUAGAGCUGUUCACCACACUGAUUCCUCGCUUGAUUGAUAUAUAGCUAUCACAAGUAUCUAUGAAGUGUAAAUGAGACGAAGAGGGUUUUAGAGGUGACUGGCCAGUCUAAGUUACUGUACAAUUUUCAGUUUGUUUCAAUAUGUGAGUUGGAAAUCACAAGUUUAAAUUGUUCUUCUCAUUCUUGAUUCUUAAUUCUUUACGGAAAGGAGAGUAGCAAAAGCAUGACAGGAUUGAUUAUGCACAACAUAAUUUUGGGUCGGAAGGAUACUGCAGAUGUUAAAUAUUCACUCCAGAUUUGCGAGUUGCAACCAUAUAUCACCUCAGAGAUCUAAGCCAAGAAAAGAUUGUUCCAUAUGAAAAAUCGAAAAAGAGUCUUAAUUUCUCCAAAUUUCUCCUAAAUUUACCAUAAAAUUCACUAUAAUUCUAUGCUAACAUGAAAAGUUUUUGUUAUUUGUGAAAAUGGUUGUUCUCAGGUCCACUAUUGGAGAAUUAGAAUUGAGAGAAAGGUGGAAGGGUGUUUCUUUCAUCGAAUUUGUAACUUGCCUGGUACAUCUUCUUAGUUAUCGGAGAGAUCAUUAGAGUAUAUCACUUAGGUCCUUUGCAAGUAGGAUGAAGUAACUAAAUCCAUUUUUGUCAAGCUUUGUGCUCAUGGCAUGUAUCUUAAUAUGAGAAAAAGAUAAAGAGAAUUUAUAAUGAAAUGACAAAAAGGACAAUAGUGCAUGUUUCCAACCAUGAAUUUUUAAUUCAGAUGCUUUCUAUCGGUCACAUUGAAGACUUGAGCUAUGCAUACAGCCAUACGGGUCCAGACAUUGGAUGUCUUUU
rnacentral:lncRNA from 1 species